rnacentral:lncRNA from 1 species
GAUGGACAACCCAGCUGGCUCAUGCUCCGUUUUGAUGAGGUUCUGGGAAGCAAGCCAGAUAAGGAAGUUUCCUGAUGCCCACAAAGGUUAAAUAACUGACUCGAGGUUACCCAGCAAUAAAUGUUGAAAAAGAGUUUAAAUUAGUUGGCUUUCAGAGUUUGUGUUUUGGACAACUAUAUUCUACUUUGGACAGCACUGUAUUUUCUCAUUGUAAAAGCAGGCAGGAUGGAGUAAAAAAUAAAAGUCAAAACAAUUUGAAAACAA